AAUUUCAUCUGACCUAGUGCUGAGCAAGAGCUCCUGAGUCUGAGGAUGGCCACCAGGAAGACUUUGAGGUUCUCAGCUUCAUGGGAUGGUGCACAGAAGUACAGUGUGUACACAUCGGACGCUAGAGCAUCUGGGUUCAAAUCCCGCCUCUUGGAGCUGGUAGACUCUUACUCACUGGAAUCAGGAUACAAGCCAUGGCCCCUACAAAGUCCAUAGAGCCCUGGAGACCAAGCCCCCAGCUCUACCCCUGACCUGAUCUCUCACUGCUCUCUCCUCUCUGGGCCUACUCUAGUCAUAACAGGCCUCCAUAUUGACUCCAAGCAUUUAGAGCAGGCUCUUACCACGAACUCCUGAGCCUGCUGCGAACUCUACCCAAGGAAAAGGCCUCCUCCUCGGCUGCCUCUCUCUGUUUCUACACAAACCCCGUAGCAGAGCGACCACACUCUUCACCAAAACAGCCUCGUUUCUAUCUCUUUACCCGGGAUUUUUUUUCUCUAUGUCACUUAUCAACUUGAGGCAUGCUAAGUAUUUAUGGACUGUUAUUUGGGGGUGUACACAAUCUCAGGUAUGAGCUAAAACUGCAGAACGGGUUUCUUGAAAA